CAAAGUGUAGCGCAGUCUGGUUAGCGCGGCUGUUUUGGGUACAGAGGGCCAUAGGUUCAAAUCCUGUCACCUUGA
rnacentral:tRNA from 2 species